rnacentral:rRNA from 1 species
ACACGUCUACAUUAGAUACCCGGGUAGUCCCAGCCGUAAACUAUGCGCGUUAGGUGUAUCGGUGACCACGAGUUACCGAGGUGCCGAAGGGAAACCGUGAAACGUGCCGCCUGGGAAGUACGGUCGCAAGGCUGAAACUUAAAGGAAUUGGCGGGGGAGCACCACAACAGGUUGGAGCCUGCGGUUUAAUUGGACUCAACGCCGGGAAGCUCACCGGAUAGGACAGCAGAAUGAUUGCCGGGCUGAAGACCCUGCAUGACUAGCUG